AUUUAAACUAGUAAAUAGAGUAUGUUUUUGUUGGCAGUGAGUAAAUCUUUGAUUCAGAGUCAGCGUAUAGGCCGACAAAAAAUGCUUUUCCGUUCAGAAAUCUGAAUCCUAUCUGUGGGGCCUCCCCUUCAUGUCUACGUGAGGACUGAAGAACGAGUGAAUCUUGUUUUAGGGUUUAUGCCCAUUGCCGAUCAUGUGGUCAGUUUCCCCGCUUUCGAUUCCGACCAAGAUUUACUUAUUAUUCCUCCUCGUCCAUUAGUUCAGUUCCUUAGUUCAAUCAGUCCCUUCCUCAAAACCUAUUUCCGCAAAUGCCACUGCUCUUAUUCCACAAUAUGGGAUUGCUGGUUUCACAUGUCACCCCUUUCAUAUAAAUAAAUGGAAUUGCAAUCUCCAUUCUACAUCUGCUCUGAUGUCUCGCCUGCCUGCCAGCCAUAAGUGAGCAGGGCUUUUGAAAAUAGAGAGGUAGAGCAACUAGGAGCUAAAUAUUAGAAGAGCGCCCACUCUCUUCUUCGGGAAAUCGAGUUCGCUGGGCUGGUUCCCUGUCCCCAAUAUGUAACGAAAAGAUUGAGUGGUUUACCGCAUUCAUGAAAGCACUUGCCUGUCGCAACAUGAGAAGGAGCCCUACAUCACUCGACCCCGACCGGUCAAUCUCCUGUCAUUGAUAUCUCGUGCGCGAAGGGUUACCCAUGCUCCUAAUUAAGUCCAUCUGGCUCUUCCUUCCAUCUUUAAAUUAAGGUUCAAACUCAAUCGGUUGUCCUCUCCGAUUGGCGAACCUCGAAAGAGAAGGCGGAGGAAGGAACUGAUUUCAUUAGUCUCAGGUCAGCGACAUAGCCAUGUAUUACGAGAUUAGGCCAAUCAGAAAAUGCCAAUUAUUAAUUAAUAAUAAAAGAGGUAUCGAAUUUUUGCUUUAACAACUUUCAAAGUUGCACUAGCAAUAGCAGGAGGAGGAGCACUGGUAGAAAGAACCUCUCUCAGAUGUCCAUAAAGAUGUUAUCCAAGUUAUUCAAAAGGAAGUCGAUAAAGAUUCAUUCCCUGCUCUUACUGAUGCCUGGCACUGAAGAAGAAAGAUCAGAUGCGCCAACUCUGCUCUUUGCAUGUUUUCAUGAAUCAUUGGACAAUGUUUGCGACGUGAAACGAGGCUAGGUACGACCUAUUUCUAUUGAAUUAGCCUAAUGUUUAUCAGAAUCGCUAGUUGUAAUAGAUGCAAGGGAGAAGAAGGCUAAGCUGCCCCUCCGUUGUCUCGCACACCAAGGCAAAAAGAGAUUCAACAGUCGGCUGGGGAACCGGAAUCUAAGCAUACCAAGACUCAGGAUAAGGAAGGGUAAGGCAUCUAAGAAUAAGGCAGGUAGACCCAUACUCAGGCAAGAAAGAAAGUCUCUUACAGAAAAGGCAGGAAGAAGAGGCCCUCGCUCUACAGGAAACCUAAUAGAAUGGGCUACUUCUUAAGGUGGAAUGGACCACUUAUCAUAGAAGAAUCUUUCUUACAUCGAUUACUGACUAUACGGACAGGGCAAGUCAAAGCAAAGCCGAUGCACCUGAUACGACUAAAAAAGAGAGCAAUGGUCCGAAACCCCAAGCAAUUAGACAAGGCAAGUCAAAGCAAAUCCGAUGCACCUGAUACGACUAAAAAAGAGAGCAAUGGUCCGAAACCCCAAGCAAUUGACCAGGNNNNNNNNNNNNNNNNNNNNNNNNNNNNNNNNNNNNCCAAGCAAUUGACCAGGAGAGGAUCAUCGGGAAUGGACUAAGGGCCUACCAACCCUUUCUUAAUCUAAGGCAUCUACCCCUGGCAGAAAAGAAGACGGAAAGAAAGCCGAUUGAUACCUUAGCUUUGAACCAGCUUCUUCAAUCCUGCUGCUCUUCUCCCUCUAUAUAGCGCGGGUAGCUUGCUUCCAAGCCACUGGCCGGAACCAGAUAAGGAACAAGAGAGAGAAGCAGCUCAAUUUCAAAGGUUAGGCGCGAUAGCCACUCGUGCAGAAGGAGAUGUUUGGGAGA
rnacentral:lncRNA from 1 species